AUGAACGCUAGCUACAGGCUUAACACAUGCAAGUCGAGGGGCAGCAUGGACAUAGCUUGCUAUGUUUGAUGGCGACCGGCGCACGGGUGCGUAACACGUAUCCAAUCUGCCCGUUACUCGGGGAUAGCCUUCUGAAAGGAAGAUUAAUACCCGAUGGCAUGUAUUUCCGGCAUCGGAGAUACAUUAAAGAUUUAUCGGUAACGGAUGGGGAUGCGUGACAUUAGAUAGUAGGCGGGGUAACGGCCCACCUAGUCUACGAUGUCUAGGGGUUCUGAGAGGAAGGUCCCCCACACUGGAACUGAGACACGGUCCAGACUCCUACGGGAGGCAGCAGUGAGGAAUAUUGGUCAAUGGCCGUAAGGCUGAACCAGCCAAGUAGCGUGAAGGAUGAAGGUUCUAUGGAUUGUAAACUUCUUUUAUACGGGAAUAACACCAUCUACGUGUAGAUGUCUGCAUGUACCGUAUGAAUAAGCAUCGGCUAACUCCGUG
rnacentral:rRNA from 1 species